GACGAACGCUGGCGGCGUGCUUAACACAUGCAAGUCGAACGGUGAACCUCUUCGGAGGGGAUCAGUGGCGAACGGGUGAGUAACACGUGGGCAACCUGCCCCCGGCUCUGGGAUAACUCCAAGAAAUAGGGGCUAAUACCGGCUGUUCACCGCUUCCCGCAUGGGUGGUGGUGGAAAGGGUUUCCGGCUGGGGAUGGGCCCGCGGCCUAUCAGCUUGGUGGUGGGGUAGUGGCCUACCAAGGCGACGACGGGUAGCCGGCCUGAGAGGGUUGCCGGGCACACGGGGACUGAGACACGGCGCAGACUCGUACGGGAGGCAGAGGUGGGGAGUAUUGCGCAAUGGGCGGAAGCGUGACGCGGAGACGCCGCGUGGGGGAUGACGGCCUUGGGGUUGGAAACCGCUUUAAGCAGGGACGAAGCGCAAGUGACGGUACCUGCAGAAGAAGCACCGGCUAACUACGUG
rnacentral:rRNA from 1 species